CCCGCUGAACUUAAGCAUAUCAGUAAGCGGAGGAAAAGAAACUAACAAGGAUUCCUUUAGUAACGGCGAGUGAACCGGGAAAAGCUCAAAUUUAAAAUCUGUCAUCAAUUUUGGUGACCGAAUUGUAUUUGAUAGGGUCUUCUUUCAGGGGCAGACCAUGGCCAAAGUUCUCUGGAAAGGGACAACAAAGAGGGUGACAUUCCCGUCUGGGUCAUGGUGCAACCACUGGUACAUAGAAGGCCCAAAGAGUCGGAUUGUUUGGGAAUGCAGUCCAAAAUGGGUGGUACAUUUCAUCUAAAGCUAAAUAUAGGCAAGAGACCGAUAGCGCACAAGUACCGUGAGGGAAAGAUGAAAAGAACUUUGAAAAGAGAGUUAAAUAGUACGUGAAAUUGUUAAAAGGGAAACGAUUGAGACCAGUGAUGUAGUGCAUGCUUAAGCUUACCCUUUGGGGGAAGUGUAUGUGUGCAUUGCAAGUCGACGCCUCUUUUAAGUUCUGGAGAAGACAGAUGGAAAGGUGGCUCUACCUUUACGGGUAGUUGCUUUAUAGUCCAACUGGGAUACAGAACUCUCUGAGAGAGGUACAUAUCAAGGGCGCAAGCUCACGUCGACAAAAUGGUCUUAAACGACCCGUCUUGAAACACGG
rnacentral:rRNA from 1 species